rnacentral:rRNA from 1 species
AUUCCAGCUCCACUAGCGUAUAUUAAAGUUGUUGCAGUUAAAAAGCUCGUAGUUGGAUUUCUGACAAGGUGCGCCUGGUCCGCCCCGUAAAGGUGUGUGAGUACCGGCCGUGCGCCUGUCAUCCUUCCGCGGAGCGCGUCUACCCUUCACUGGGCCGGGCGUCGCGACGUGGAUCGUUUACUUUGAAAAAAUUAGAGUGUUCAAAGCAGGCCUUCACGCUGUGAAUACAAUAGCAUGGAAUAAUAAGAUAGGACUUUGGUUCUAUUUUGUUGGUUUCUAGGACUAAAGUAAUGAUUGAUAGGGAUAGUUGGGGGUGCUAGUAUUCAACGGCCAGAGGUGAAAUUCUUGGAUUCGUUGAAGACUAACUUAUGCGAAAGCAUUCACCGAGGAUGUCUUCUUUAAUCAAGAACGAAAGUUGGGGGAUCGAAGACGAUCAGAUACCGUCGUAGUCUCAACCAUAAACUAUGCCGACUAGGGAUCAGCGGACGUUGUUUUUUGACUCCGUUGGCACCUUAUGAGAAAUCAAAGUCUUUGGGUUCCGGGGGGAGUAUGGUCGCAAGGCUGAAACUUAAAGGAAUUGACGGAAGGGCACCACCAGGCGUGGAGUUUGCGGCUUAAUUUGACCAACACGGGAAAACUUACCAGGUCCAGACAUAGUAAGGAUUGACAGAUUGAAGAUCUUUCUUGAUUCUAUGGGUGGUGGUGCAUGGCCGUUCAUAGUUGGUGGAGUGAUUUGUCUGGUUAAUUCCGUUAACGAACGAGACCUCGACCUGCUAAAUAGUUUGGCGAACCCCUCGGGGUUCGUCUAGACUUCUUAGAGGGACUAUCGGUGGUAAGCCGGUGGAAGUUCGAGGCAAAAACAGGUCUGUGAUGCCCUUAGAUGUUCUGGGCCGCACGCGUACUACACUGACGCAUUCAUCGAGCUUUACUUUCCUUGGCAGACAUGUCCGGGUAAUCUUUGAAAGUGCGUCGUGAUGGGGAUAGUUGAUUUCAAUUAUUCAUCUUCAACGAGGAAUGCCUAGUAAACGCAAGUCAUCAGCUUGCAUUGAUUACGUCCCUGCCCUUUGUACACACCGCCCGUCGCUACUACCGAUUGAAUGGUUUAGUGAGCUCCAUAGACUGCUGCUCUGCGUGGGUUCGUCCUUCGCAAGGUGGUGGGAAGUGGAUCAAACUUGACCAUUUAGAGGAAGUAAAAGUCGUAACAAGG